GACGAACGCUGGCGGUGUGCUUAACACAUGCAAGUCGAACGGUAAGGCCCUUUCGGGGGUACACGAGUGGCGAACGGGUGAGUAACACGUGAGUAACCUGCCCUCAUCUCUGGGAUAACAGUCGGAAACGGUUGCUAAUACUGGAUAUGAGCUUGCAAGGCAUCUUGUGGGUUGGAAAGAUUUUUUUUGGUUGGGGAUGGACUCGCGGCCUAUCAGCUUGUUGGUGAGGUAGUGGCUCACCAAGGCUUCGACGGGUAGCCGGCCUGAGAGGGCGACCGGCCACAUGGGGACUGAGAUACGGCCCAAACUCCUACGGGAGGCAGCAGUGGGGAAUAUUGCACAAUGGACGGAAGUCUGAUGCAGCAACGCCGCGUGCGGGAUGACGGCCUUCGGGUUGUAAACCGCUUUCAAUUGUGACGAAGCUUUUUUGUGACGGUAGCAGUAGAAGAAGCACCGGCUAACUACGUG
rnacentral:rRNA from 1 species